rnacentral:rRNA from 1 species
CUACAGGGGUUUCUAAUCCGGUUCGCUCCCCACGCUUUCGUGCCUCAGUGUCAGAAAUGGUCCAGUAACCUGCCUACGCCAUUGGUGUUCCUUCUUAUAUCUACGGAUUUCACUCCUACACAAGAAAUUCCAGUUACCUCUACCAUUCUCGAGUUAGUGAGUUUGAAUAAUAGUCUGUAUGGUUGAGCCACCAGAUUUCACUAUUCACUUUACUAACCACCUACGCAACUCUUUACGCCCAGUCACUCCGGAUAAUGCUUGCACCCUACGUAUUACCGCGGCUGCUGGCAC